rnacentral:rRNA from 1 species
GAUGAACGCUAGCGGCAGGCUUAAUACAUGCAAGUCGAGGGGCAGCAUGACUGUAGCAAUACAGUUGAUGGCGACCGGCAAACGGGUGCGGAACACGUACAGAACCUUCCUUCGAGCGGGGAAUAGCCCAGAGAAAUUUGGAUUAAUACCCCAUAGCAUAUUGGAGUGGCAUCACUUUAAUAUUAAAGAUUUAUCACUUGAAGAUGGCUGUGCGGCUGAUUAGGUAGUUGGCGGGGUAACGGCCCACCAAGCCUGCGAUCAGUAACUGGUGUGAGAGCACGACCAGUCACACGGGCACUGAGACACGGGCCCGACUCCUACGGGAGGCAGCAGUAAGGAAUAUUGGUCAAUGGACGAAAGUCUGAACCAGCCAUGCCGCGUGGAGGAUGAAGGUCCUCUGGAUUGUAAACUUCUUUUAUAUGGGACGAAAAAGGGCCUUUCUAGGCCAACUGACGGUACCAUGUGAAUAAGCACCGGCUAACUCCGUGCCAGCAGCCGCGGUAAUACGGAGGGUGCAAGCGUUAUCCGGAUUCACUGGGUUUAAAGGGUGCGUAGGUGGGUUGGUAAGUCAGUGGUGAAAUCUCCGAGCUUAACUUGGAAACUGCCAUUGAUACUAUCAAUCUUGAAUAUUGUGGAGGUUAGCGGAAUAUGUCAUGUAGCGGUGAAAUGCUUAGAGAUGACAUAGAACACCAAUUGCGAAGGCAGCUGGCUACACAUAUAUUGACACUGAGGCACGAAAGCGUGGGGAUCAAACAGGAUUAGAUACCCUGGUAGUCCACGCCCUAAACUAUGGAUACUCGACAUACGCGAUACACAGUGUGUGUCUGAGCGAAAGCAUUAAGUAUCCCACCUGGGAAGUACAAUCGCAAGAUUG